ensembl:piRNA 21ur-2453 ncRNA
UAAGCCACUUUGUGCAAUGGU